rnacentral:rRNA from 1 species
UGCUUAGAUCUCUUCGGAGUGACGAGCUUUUAACUUAGUGGCGGACGGGUGAGUAACACGUGAGCAACCUGCCUUUCAGAGGGGGAUAACGGCUGGAAACGGUCGCUAAUACCGCAUGAUAUAUUGAAUCGGCAUCGGUUUAAUAUCAAAGGAGCAAUCCGCUGAAAGAUGGGCUCGCGUCUGAUUAGAUAGUUGGUGGGGUAACGGCCUACCAAGUCGACGAUCAGUAGCCGGACUGAGAGGUUGAACGGCCACAUUGGGACUGAGAUACGGCCCAGACUCCUACGGGAGGCAGCAGUGGGGAAUAUUGCACAAUGGGGGAAACCCUGAUGCAGCAACGCCGCGUGAAGGAAGACGGUUUUCGGAUUGUAAACUUCUUUUCUUAGUGAAGAAGAAAGUGACGGUAGCUAAGGAAUAAGCAUCGGCUAACUACGUGCCAGCAGCCGCGGUAAUACGUAGGAUGCGAGCGUUAUCCGGAAUUACUGGGUGUAAAGGGAGCGCAGGCGGGACUGCAAGUUGGAUGUGAAAUACCGCAGCUUAACUGCGGAGCUGCAUCCAAAACUGUAGUUCUUGAGUGGAGUAGAGGCAAGCGGAAUUCCGAGUGUAGCGGUGAAAUGCGUAGAUAUUCGGAGGAACACCAGUGGCGAAGGCGGCUUGCUGGGCUCUAACUGACGCUGAGGCUCGAAAGUGUGGGGAGCAAACAAGAUUGGAUACCCUGGUAGUCCACACUG